AUACUUGUUUCGGCAGCACAUAUACUAAAAUUGGAACGAGAAGAUUAGCAUGACCCCUACACAAGGAUGACACACAAAUUCAUGAAAAGGGGGAAGUGGUU
rnacentral:snRNA from 1 species